UACAGAGGGUGCCAGCGUUGUUCGGAAUUACUGGGCGUAAAGCGCGUGUAGGCGGCGGUAUAAGUCGAAUGUGAACUCCCUCAGCUCAACUGAGGAAGUGCAUCCGAUACUGUAUCGCUAGAGUACCGGAGGGGAUGGCGGAAUUCCCGGUGUAGAGGUGAAAGUCGUAGAUAUCGGGAGGAACACCUGUGGCGAAGGCGGCCAUCUGGACGGUAACUGACGCUGAGACGCGAAAGCGUGGGUAGCAAACAGG
rnacentral:rRNA from 1 species